rnacentral:rRNA from 1 species
CCGCGUGAGUGAUGAAGGCCUUAGGGUUGUAAAGCUCUUUUGUCAGGGAAGAUAAUGACGGUACCUGAAGAAUAAGCACCGGCUAACUUCGUGC